rnacentral:lncRNA from 1 species
GUUGAGUGACCACAUGAAAAAUCAAAUCUUUGUAAUACACCUGAAGUCCAGGAACACCGUCGGUCAUUAAGAUAGUUAUCAUUCCAUAGUCUGUAUGAGCUCAACAGCCAUACAUAUAUUGAUCUCAAUAGUCUAUCUCACCAACAACUGAUAAUAACACAGGAUGGCAUACUCAAGAUGAUACAUUGAAUCAUAUCAACUACUCCCUCCAUUUCAUUUUAUAUGAUGCCUU